CCUACGGGCGGCAGCAGUGGGGAAUAUUGGACAAUGGGGGGAACCCUGAUCCAGCCAUGCCGCGUGUGUGAAGAAGGCCCUCGUGUUGUAAAGCACUUUCAGUGAGGAAGAACGCCUGGUGGUUAAUACCCAUCAGGAAAGACAUCACUCACAGAAGAAGCACCGGCUAACUCCGUGCCAGCAGCCGCGGUAAUACGGAGGGUGCGAGCGUUAAUCGGAAUUACUGGGCGUAAAGCGCGCGUAGGUGGCUUGAUAAGCCGGUUGUGAAAGCCCCGGGCUCAACCUGGGAACGGCAUCCGGAACUGUCAAGCUAGAGUGCAGGAGAGGAAGGUAGAAUUCCCGGUGUAGCGGUGAAAUGCGUAGAGAUCGGGAGGAAUACCAGUGGCGAAGGCGGCCUUCUGGACUGACACUGACACUGAGGUGCGAAAGCGUGGGUAGCAAACAGGAUUAGAUACCCUUGUAGUC
rnacentral:rRNA from 1 species